AUUUAUUUAGUAUAAAAAGUACAUUUGAUUUCCAAUCUUAAAGUCUUAUUCAAGAAUAAAUA
rnacentral:tRNA from 1 species